rnacentral:lncRNA from 1 species
AAAUUUAAACUUAAUAUAUUGAAAACAAUGAUAAUGAAAGUAAUAUCAAAAAAAUAUUUCAUAAUAUUUUCUCUAGUAAUUCUUGUUAAAUAUGUUUAAUGUUUGUUAGGAAAACAUAAAAGUAACUUAUUAAUGUUAGUUGUAGUUGUAUCAAGUAAGAUGCUUAACAAUGUUGUUGUUGUUGAAAUUUAGUAUUUUAACGAUUUUAUUGAUUUUAUUUAUUUGUUUUUGUUGUUGUUGUUGUUGUUGUUGAGAUUUAAUUUUUAAAGAUUCC